rnacentral:rRNA from 1 species
UGCGUAGGUGGUUGUUUAAGUCUGUCGUGAAAGCCCUGGGCUCAACCUGGGAAUUGCGAUGGAUACUGGGCGACUAGAAUGUGGUAGAGGGUGGCGGAAUUCCCGGUGUAGCAGUGAAAUGCGUAGAGAUCGGGAGGAACAUCCGUGGCGAAGGCGGCCACCUGGACCAACAUUGACACUGAGGCACGAAAGCGUGGGGAGCAAACA